rnacentral:rRNA from 1 species
UACAGGGGGGGGCAAGCGUUGUUCGGAAUUACUGGGCGUAAAGGGUUCGUAGGUGGCCACUUAAGUCAGACGUGAAAUCCCUCAGCUUAACUGGGGAACUGCGUCUGAUACUGAGUGGCUUGAGUGCAGGAGAGGGAUGCGGAAUUCCAGGUGUAGCGGUGAAAUGCGUAGAUAUCUGGAGAACACCGGUGGCGAAGGCGGCAUCCUGGACCGGUAUUGACGCUGAGGCGCGAAAGCCAGGGGGAGCAAACGG